GAGUUUGAUCCUGGCUCAGAUUGAACGCUGGCGGCAUGCCUUACACAUGCAAGUCGAACGGCAGCACGGGAGCUUGCUCCUGGUGGCGAGUGGCGAACGGGUGAGUAAUGCAUCGGAACGUAUCCUGGAGUGGGGGAUAACGUAGCGAAAGUUACGCUAAUACCGCAUAUUCUGUGAGCAGGAAAGCGGGGGACCUUCGGGCCUCGCGCUCUUGGAGCGGCCGAUGUCGGAUUAGCUAGUUGGUGAGGUAAAGGCUCACCAAAGCGACGAUCCGUAGCAGGUCUGAGAGGAUGAUCUGCCACACUGGAACUGAGACACGGUCCAGACUCCUACGGGAGGCAGCAGUGGGGAAUUUUGGACAAUGGGGGCAACCCUGAUCCAGCCAUGCCGCGUGAGUGAAGAAGGCC
rnacentral:rRNA from 1 species